CUGAGAUUUCCUCUCCGUGACCCUUCUUCCCCCUCUAGGGGUCCUGGGCUGCCCUGAGGCCACCGCCUAGCAAGAUCAAGAUAGGGCUUGAGCGGCAGUGGGAUAGGGCAGUGGGGGUUCCGGGGGGGUCCGGUGCAGGCAGAACCAAGAGUGUGCCGGCGGAGGGCUGUCGGUACAGGGUGCAGGGCGUGGCGGCUGCAGGACCUCAGCUUGCCUCUUUAAAUCCCUUCCUGGGCACCGCGGUGGCCCGGCCCUUUCCCCUCGUGCUGUUUCUGCUGGAAACGCCGCACAGUCUCCUCGGGGGCAGCCGCCAGCGGAAACGGUUAUUGGCCGCCAGGCAAGCCAGUCCCAUCCUUCCCAGCAACUGGGACUUUCCGGGCAGGGCUCCCCAGCGCGGGUUCAGCUAAUUAAGGAAGCAAUUAGCCUCCCCUGAGGCUAUUCAUGCUUCCUCACCCACAGUUCUCAGGUUCUGUGAGACCAGAGCCUCAGUCUCCCGUGAGCAGAGGGUGUGUGUGUGGCUGCCACUAUUCUGCAGACACGCUGGCUCCACCCCAGAGAGUUGCAGGGCCAGGAAAUCUGCAUUUAAACAGACCCUGGCUCUCACACUUCGGAAACUGCCCGAAGCACCUCUCAAAUAUGGGACAGAUUUUCAGCUGCAUUCAGAGUUCAGCAGCUUUCGGGCGGUUCCUGGAAGCCCGACGUCAUUUAUAAUCCGGUUUCUGAGUGGGAACGGCUUUCUCUGGGAGACAGCUCCUUGGGAAGUUAGAGACUUCCUGCACUUAUUGGACUCGAACAUCCAUUCUGUACAAAAUGCCCCGCAACACUGAGGAGAUGCUGUUUUGUUUUUGUUUGUUUGUUUGUUUUUUCGAGACGGAGUUUUACUCCUGUUGCCCAGACUGGAGUGCAAUGGUGCGAUCUUGGCUCACUGCAACCUCCGCCUCCCGGGUUCAAGUGAUUCUCCUGCCUCAGCCUUCUGAGUAGCUGGGACUACAGGCAAGAUGCUGUUUUAGGACCAGAAAUCUCCCAGGGGUGUGCAGAUCAACAGUAAUCCCAGUCUGCCCUCCAUCGUCGGAAUAGAAUCAGAGGGAGGGAAAAUCCGCCUUUGGAUCUCUGGACCAUGAUCUUUCCAGCAGGUCACAGGUGACCAAAGGCUUCACUUGCAGAAGCCCCCUCCCCAGGAAACUCCCCUGGGGCAAAACGAAAGUGUUUUGGGCGUUUUUGUCUGCCUGGCAGGGAGCCUGUGCCUGAGUCACUGUUUCUCUUGAGCUUCCCUUUUCUUUUCUUUCCUCCCGGUGUCUGCUGAUUUUGUGUCAAACAAGGAGCAUGGGGCCAGGCCAUCUCUGAGCUGCCCGUGGGACGGGGACUUGGGCACUUGCCAGGAGCGGCUGGCCUAGGAGUGGGCGGGAGGCCCUUGGUCACCCACCCCAGGGCCUGGCUUCAGGUGGCCACAGCUUUCUGACCCCCUUCUGGGCACUGGGCCACCAGCUGCUGGGCAUGGCCAGUGAGUGAGGGUGAGGGCAAGAUGAGGAAGAGGUGGCGUAAGGUGGGAAAGGAUUACUUGCCAGACGCUUGGCUGAGUCUGUUCUCUAAGCCAUGCUGCGAGGCAGGUGCUAUUGUGUCUGCAUUUUGCGGAUGAGGAAACUGUGGCUCAGAGAAGGGAAGUCACUGUUUUAAGGUGAAGUGGCCAGUGGAGGUGGGGCUAGGGUUCGAAUCCUAGGAUCAGGCACACUGCCUGGGGAUAACCUCUAGAGGUGUCUGUGCUUCCCAGCUAGACCGGAGCUCGCUGCAGCCCCUCACUUUUUCCCCGGUCCUGCUUCAGGCCCCACUUCCUCUCUGCAGGUGCUUAGGCCGAAAAUCAGGAAUCUCUUGAAUGAAUGCAUGAAGGUGGAGCCCUUUCCCUUAAUGCGCAGGUGAAAAGGGCACCUCGGUGGAUUCUACUAAAUUUAAUAGAAGCCUGUUCCUGGAAGCCAUCUGUACCCUCGGACAGCCAGCAACGACUGAGCUACACAUGGAUAGAACCAUGAACCACAAGAAAUACCCCUGAAUUCUGAACUAUUUCCAUAUCAACUUCUCCCAAAAUACCCACAGCCAGUCCAACACCAUCCAACUGGAUGGGAGCAGGGAAGGCGGGGAAUCAGAGUGGAAAGAGACUUAGCUGAGUUAUUUUUAUUAUUUUUAAAAGCCUUAUUCAUAGACAUAUGUGUAUAUUUAGAGACAGAGUCUAUCACUACGUUGCCCAGGUUUGAUUCUUUUUUUAGAGACAGGUCUGGAGUACAGUGGUGCAAUCUUUGCUCAUCACAGCCUUGAACUCCAGGGCUCAAGCCAUCCUCCCACCUCAGCCUCCUGAGUAGCUGGGACUACAAGCAUGUGCUGUGCCACCAAGCUGGCUUGGUGUGACUAACUGAUGUCUCACCUUUGCAAACUUUACAGAAACAUAUGACAUAGGAACACAUUGCAAUUACAUAUUGCAAUUCAGCAGAAAAAAAAAAAAGAAAGACUUUCUUUUUACUGAAUGGCACUGACUUACCAGGUACAUACAAGCAAGUGGAGUCUGGGGACCACUUUUUGGCUGUUCUAGAGAAAGUGCCCCAAAGAGGAUUCAGCAGCCAGACUCCUGUUAGUUUUCUCAUCUCACUCAGAAGGCUCAGCCUCUGAAACAACCAUUCCAGGACUUGGAGGCAGGGGAUCUGGGUUAAAGGCCCAGCUCUGCCGUUUCCUAACUGUGGGGCCUUGGCAAGUGCAGGUCCUGUGAGCUUCACCAGCCUCAUUAGCAAGAAUAGUUCAUGUUCCCCUGCCACGGAAGUGCCCUGUGAACUAGAAGAGAGCAUGGGCAAGUAUGGGGUUAGUCUCGCUAACAGAUCAGCCAGCUUCUGUCUGGGCAAUUCUGUCAUUUAGGGUUUUGCUGGGGUGGCCCCGGGAGUCGUUUGGGAGUUCACCUAUCUCCCCAGGCAUGGAGAAGGGGUGGUGUUUCUGAAUCAGGAUUCUGAGCUGAACUGCAAACCUGACUGUGCUCCAAGUUUCUUGGACCAGCAAGCCCAGCUCCCAGAGUCCCGCUGCCCUGGCCUGAACCCGCCGCUCCACACCCCGGGCUCUCGGCAGCCGGGCGGCUCGUGGGAGGAGGCGCCAUGAGCCUUCUUGCAUUUCCUGCUUCAGACUUGAUGGAUUACAGAGGACUCCUGCUCCAGCUGUGGGGAACUCCAGCCCGCACUUUGCCUCCAGCCCGAUGGUGCAAGAUCCAGCUUCUCUUCAGCCUGGCAUCAAACGUCUUUUUGAUCAGCUUUUCAUCCAUUUUCUGAAAAUGUAGUGAUUGAGAGAUGUUCUGAAUCUUGCAGAAUUCUGUGUCGCACCCUGGCCACACAUCAAUGCAGGCCUGAACCUGACCCUGGGUGGACUCCCUGCUCUCUGCCAGCCCCUUUCUCACCCCUGGGUCCCCACGGCCCCUGGCUCUCUCCCCUCUGCUAGAAUCUCGCUGAGGGAUUGGUGGGGAGGGGGUGGUCACGCACUGGGUGGAGAUCUGGUGCCCCCUGGAGGCCGGACAGGAAGGGCCAGGGCGGACAAGGUCUUUGAGAACUCGGUGGCAUCCCGCUCCUGAUGGCCUGGGUCCCACCGCCCCUCCCCCAGCCUUCCUGACAGCAGAGGAGAUUGAUGGGGCGCUGCUCGAAUGUUCUUCAUCAGCGUCUUCAGUAAUAAGCUUCUCCAUUGGGUAACCGAUCCUAGUUUAGCAAAACCGUUUGUCAACCAUUUCCUCCCUUGAGCUUGAUAAGAACCCCGUGGGAGAGGAGAGAGGGGGGCCCCCCAGGAUCUGAAAAGCUGUGCCUCAGCCAAGUUCAUGAGUCACUGGCGAGGAGGCCUGUAGGUCAGCAAAGCCUAGGAGGUCAAGAGUGCCCACAUGGGGACCUACGGGCCUCAGGGCCGCAGGUUGCUGGGUUGGACCCUGGCUUGGAGCUCAGGAUAGAAACCCGGAAACCCCACAGGCAAAGAAGGAUGCAGAACAGAACAGGGCAGAACCAAGGACCCAGUGAGGGUGGCUGGCGUCAGAGCAAAUAUCAGAGUUCACAAGGUGAAAUAAUCCAAAAAUCUAUACAGAAAAAGCUAAUCAUUUUCUCCAAUCUCUCCCCCAAAGGUGUCUACUCCUGCAGGCUUACCUGUAACCUUUGUCACUCACUCUUCUGAUUCUGCAAACAUAUAAACCACGGAGCCACAGCCAAGAGAAUCUGGACUUGUUCGUUUUUCCUGAAAUAGGAUAUCUUAAAUAAUCCGUGGCUCAGCACUGCGCCCUUUUUUUUCUUUUCUUUUCUUUUUUUUUUUUUUUUUGAGACGGAGUCUCGCUCUGUUGCCCAGGCUGGAGUGCAAUGUCAUGAUCUUGGCUCACUGCAACCUCUGCCUCCUGGGUUCAAGCAACUCUCCUGCCUCAGCCUCCUGAGGAGCUGGGACUGCAGGUGCAAGACACCACGCCUGGCUAAUUUUUGUUAUUUUUAGUAGAGACAGUGUUUCACUAUGUUGGCCAGGCUGGUCUCGAACUCCUGACCUCAAAUGAUCUGCCUGCCUCGGCCUCCCAAAGUGCUGGGAUUACAGGCACAAGCCACAGCACCCAGCCUCACUGUGCCCUUUUCACUGGCAGGCAUUUUAUUGUCCCUACAGACCCAAGACGGGGUGGGGGAGACGUGCUUUGUGCUCACCUGGCUGGUUCAUGGGCAGGUGGCCUGGAGGACCCAGCCCUGGCAGCUGUGGGGUAGCUCCAGCCUGGGCCGGACAGCUUCUUUCAUCGCAGGCACCACUGCGGACAUUGCUGGGAGGAAGAGGAGGGAGAAGCGACGGGCUUCAUUAGGAACGGCUUUCGAUGGAUUGGACGAGGCGCGUCCACCCUGGGGAGGGCCAUCAUUUUAUUCAGUCUACUGAUGCAAAUGCUUAUCUCUUCUGGAAACACCUUCACAGACAGACCCAGAAUAUAGUUGAACCAAAUACUGGGCACCUCAUGGCUCCAACAGGUUGACACAAAAAAUGAACCAUUGCAGAAAACGAAGAACAGUCACCAACUCCCACCCAUGCAGCUGGCUCAUUUGCUGGGCUGCCCUCCCCAGCAGGUGGCACAGGAAUCCCUGCCUUGGCAGGGAGGAGGCCUGGGGUGUGUGCAGGUACCCAUGGGAAGUUUCUUUGCCAUGGGGAAAGCCAGAGUCACCCCUUGCUUGAACACAAGAGUUGGAGGUUUCAGUGAGCUGAGAUUACGCUAUUGCACUCCAGCCUGGGCGGCAGAGUGAGACUCUGUCUCUAGAUAAAUAAAUUAAAUAAAUAAAUAAAUAUAAUUUAAUAUAAAUAACUAGAAAUUUUUCAAUACUUGCAUCUCUGUAGGUUACCUCUGGAAGUGCAGGGCUUUGUCUUUUUGGAUUAACUCAGAAAUUAGACCUUCAGAAAACAACAUCAGCUCUGAUUCUCUGCACCCUUGAUGCUGCCGGUGGCGACUGCGGCUUCCUGAUGGAAAUGUAGACCUGAACAUAAGUCGCAGAAAAAUGCAGACUUGAGUUGGAGCUAAGCUGACUCAGGUAUUUUGAGAUCUAUAAUCUGAGUGGGGAGCAGAGAGAUUCCAAGAUAUUUGCAUUCAGUGGCUUUUGCACACAGCAGAACCUGUGCUGAGGGCAUUUCUAGGGUCAUUACUCAUAAUCUGCAGUGUCUCUUUCCAGGGUUCCAGGCGUCUUACCCCAGAGGUGAUUUCCAGAUUUCGAGAAAAACCCAGGAUUUAGGGCUGGCACGGUGGCUCACGCCUGUAAUCCCAGCAUUUUGGGAGGCCGAGGCAGGUGGAUCACUUGAGGUCAGGAGUUUGAGACCAGCCUGGCCAACAUGAUGAAACCCUGUCUCUACUAAAAAUACAAAAAAAUUAGCCGGGUGUGGUGGCAUGCACCUGUAAUCCCAGCUACUCAGGAGGCUGAGGCAGGAGAAUCACUUGAACCUGGGAGGCAGAGGUUGCAGUGAGCCUAGAUCGUGCCAUUGCACUCCAGCCUGGGCAACAAGAGCAAAACUCCAUCUCAAAAAAACAAACAAACAAACAAACAAAACGCAAGAUUUAGAUCCCCUCACUGUAGCGCCCUCAUGGCCUGGUAACUUUAGCAAAGCCUCCCCCUCCUCCCCCUCCUCCUCCUCCUCCUCCUCCUCCCUCCUCCCUCUUCUAGGUACAGAGGAUGAGCAGUGGCUCCCCACACCAUCCCCUGAAGCAGAGGCCCCUCUUCCCUUCAUUCCCCAUUCUGUACAGAUGCUAUGGGAGCUUCAGGCUCCACACUCAGGUCCCCAGUCCCUGAAACAUAAAGCUGAAUAAGACAGAGUCCCUGGGCUGAAGGGGCCACUGUUGGCCAUGGAAGCAGAGUAAACAGAGUGGGGCCGACGUAAAGGUGAGCUGGGGUGCACUGGAGGCACAAAACGGGCAAGGAUGGAGACGUGGGUGACGAGGUAGGGCAGACAGGCAGAGCUCAGACUGGGUCCUAGGCAGGGAGAAGUCACCAUUGUAGAGCAAGGACGAUGUGGUCAGAUCUGGGCUUUAGAAAUCUAGGUGUCUAGCCUAGGCAAUAUAAUGAGACCUCGUCUCCACAAAAAACUUAAAAAAUUAGCCGAGUGUGAUGCCACAUGUCUGUAGCCGCAGCUACUCAGAAAGCUGAGGAUCCCAAGUGGAAGGAUAACUCUAGCUCGGGAGGUCGAGGCUGCAGUGAGCCAUGAUCGUGCCAUUGCACUCCAGCCUGGGCAACAGAGCGAGACCCUGUCUCAAGAAAAAAAAAAAAAAAGUAAAAGAAAAAGAAAGAAGAAAUACAGCUCUGGAGCUGCCUAGGACAGGGUUGGGGACUCUCCUGACUAGCUGCCAGCGAAUGUUUGCUUUCUGUGGCCAGGCCCUGCCUGGCCAGGGUGCACAGGGCUGAGCGAGGCAGAUGGAGCCCCUGCUCUCAGACUGCUUUUCCGAAUGCCAUCUUGACGCUGCUCAAGUUUGGAUUUUGGUUUUCAUGGAAGUCAACUAUGGUUCUGACAUGGCCACCUCUGUCUCAACUGAUGCACGGCCUAGGGAAUCCGGUGAUGCUUCAGCAGGUGGCAGGGCUCAGCUGCACCCGCCCGGGCCCCAGCGCCGCCUGCCACUCCUCCUCCUCCUCCCAGGCUUCGGCUGAGAGCAGGGCCUGGAGCCAGCCUGCUGGGUGGACUCCCAGCUCCACAGUUGGCUAGCUCUGGGGCCCUGGGGAGAUGUCCACCCUCUCUGUGCUUUAAUUUCUUCACCUGUGAGGUGGGGAUGGUAGCACCUCCCUCAUGGGGUGGCUAUGGCUGUGAAAUGAGGUAACGUCUCGGUGUUAGGCAGCUUCCAAAACGGCUCUCCAAGAUCCCCUGCCUCCUGGCCUUCAUAGCCUUGUGGAACCCCUGGCCCUGUGUGUGGGCUGGACUCACUGCCUGCUUCCACCCAAGAGAACAGGGCACAGCUGAUGGGGGUUACUUCUGAGACUAGGUGAUCAAGACUGGGGCUUGCUGGGUCCCUCUGUCUCUGACUCUUUCCUCUGCUCUCUCCUGCUCACUUGCUCACCCUAAUACUAUAUCAAG
rnacentral:lncRNA from 10 species